UCCUCAUCACACUGCACCUUAG
rnacentral:miRNA from 1 species